GACGGGGGGGGCAAGUGUUCUUCGGAAUGACUGGGCGUAAAGGGCACGUAGGCGGUGAAUCGGGUUGAAAGUGAAAGUCGCCAAAAAGUGGCGGAAUGCUCUCGAAACCAAUUCACUUGAGUGAGACAGAGGAGAGUGGAAUUUCGUGUGUAGGGGUGAAAUCCGUAGAUCUACGAAAGGAACGCCAAAAGCGAAGGCAGCUCUCUGGGUCCCUACCGACGCUGGGGUGCGAAAGCCAUGGGGAGCGAACAGG
rnacentral:rRNA from 1 species